rnacentral:lncRNA from 1 species
UAACCUGUUAUCAAAGAUUUGAUAAGACAUCCAAAAAUAGUUCACCGACAAUACAUUGAAGAGAGAAAUGGGGUACAUAUAUUUGCUAUUUGCCACUUUAGCUGUGGCAAAUGUUACAACAGCAAUCGGUGAUUCUAGAGGUCAGUUCAGUCGGUAUUUGUAUCAGCCCAAUCAACAACAGUCCUAGAGACCACUGUGCACACCAUCCAUGCAAAAAUGGCGGGACUUGUGAAAACCAUUCACAUUCUUACAAAUGUUUGUGUCCUCGUGAAUGGACAGGAAGGCAUUGUGAUGAAGUUGCAGACUACUGUGCAAGUAAUCCAUGUCACCAUAAUGCAGUUUGUACAAACAACCAUUACAGCAUUUUUCACCAUAGUGGAUAUACGUGCACAUGUCCGGCCGGGUGGACUGGAACAAAUUGUGACACAGGUAUUUUCUUAUUGCU